rnacentral:rRNA from 1 species
GGAGUAUGUGGUUUAAUUCGAUGCAACGCGAAGAACCUUACCUGGCCUUGACAUCCCGGGAAUUUCCUGGAAACAGGAGAGUGCUUUCAUUAGAGAGAACCUGGAGACAGGUGCUGCAUGGCUGUCGUCAGCUCGUGUCGUGAGAUGUUGGGUUAAGUCCCGCAACGAGCGCAACCCUUGCCCUUUAGUUGCCAGCAGUUCGGCUGGGCACUCUAAAGGGACUGCCGGUGUCAAACCGGAGGAAGGUGGGGAUGACGUCAAGUCCUCAUGGCCUUUAUGGCCAGGGCUACACACGUACUACAAUGGCCGGUACAAAGGGCAGCGACAUUGCGAGAUGGAGCGAAUCCCGAAAAAGCCGGUCUCAGUCCGGAUUGGAGUCUGCAACUCGACUCCAUGAAGUUGGAAUCGCUAGUAAUCGCGGAUCAGCACGCCGCGGUGAAUACGUUCCCGGGCCUU